GAUGAACGCUGACAGAAUGCUUAACACAUGCAAGUCGAUUCGAUUUACCUUCGGGUAUUGAGGAUGGCGGACGGGUGAGUAACGCGUAAGGAACUUGCCUCUUGGUCUGGGACAACUGUUGGAAACGACAGCUAAUACCGGAUAUUAUGAGAUUCUCGCAUGGGAAACUUAUGAAAGCUAUAUGCGCCAAGAGAGAGCCUUGCGUUCCAUUAGCUAGUUGGUGGGGUAACGGCCCACCAAGGCGACGAUGGAUAGCCGGCCUGAGAGGGUGAACGGCCACAAGGGGACUGAGACACGGCCCUUACUCCUACGGGAGGCAGCAGUGGGGAAUAUUGGACAAUGGGCCACAAGCCUGAUCCAGCAAUUCUGUGUGCACGAUGAAGGUCUUCGGAUUGUAAAGUGCUUUCAGUUGGGAAGAAGAAAGUGACGGUACCAACAGAAGAAGCGACGGCUAAAUACGUGCCAGCAGCCGCGGUAAUACGUAUGUCGCAAGCGUUAUCCGGAUUUAUUGGGCGUAAAGCGCGUCUAGGCGGAAAAAUAAGUCUGAUGUUAAAAUGCGGGGCUCAACUCCGUAUUGCGUUGGAAACUGUUUUUCUAGAGUACUGGAGAGGUGGGCGGAACUACAAGUGUAGAGGUGAAAUUCGUAGAUAUUUGUAGGAAUGCCGAUGGAGAAGUCAGCUCACUGGACAGAUACUGACGCUAAAGCGCGAAAGCGUGGGGNAGCAAACAGGAUUAGAUACCCUGG
rnacentral:rRNA from 1 species